AUUGAACGCUGGCGGCAGGCCUAACACAUGCAAGUCGAGCGGAUGAAGGGAGCUUGCUCCUUGAUUCAGCGGCGGACGGGUGAGUAAUGCCUAGGAAUCUGCCUGGUAGGGGGGGAUAACGUCCGGAAACGGGCGCUAAUACCGCAUACGUCCUGAGGGAGAAAGUGGGGGAUCUUCGGACCUCACGCUAUCAGAUGAGCCUAGGUCGGAUUAGCUAGUUGGUGGGGUAAAGGCCUACCAAGGCGACGAUCCGUAACUGGUCUGAGAGGAUGAUCAGUCACACUGGAACUGAGACACGGUCCAGACUCCUACGGGAGGCAGCAGUGGGGAAUAUUGGACAAUGGGCGAAAGCCUGAUCCAGCCAUGCCGCGUGUGUGAAGAAGGUCUUCGGAUUGUAAAGCACUUUAAGUUGGGAGGAAGGGCAGUAAGUUAAUACCUUGCUGUUUUGACGUUACCAACAGAAUAAGCACCGGCUAACUUCGUG
rnacentral:rRNA from 1 species